ACAGUACAAACUGAGCAGACCGUGACGUGCGUCAUGGAGUCGGGUCACCUAUGUGACAGUGGUAUCUUGUUAUCCACGGGACAGU
rnacentral:ncRNA from 1 species